rnacentral:rRNA from 1 species
UACGGAGGGGGCUAGCGUUGUUCGGAAUUACUGGGCGUAAAGCGCGCGUAGGCGGCUUUGUAAGUCAGAGGUGAAAUCCCGGGGCUCAACUCCGGAACUGCCUUUGAAACUGCAUCGCUUGAAUCCGGGAGAGGUGAGUGGAAUUCCGAGUGUAGAGGUGAAAUUCGUAGAUAUUCGGAAGAACACCAGGGGCGAAGGCGGCUCACUGGACCGGCAUUGACGCUGAGGUGCGAAAGCGUGGGGAGCAAACAGG